UACGGGGGGGGGCAAGCGUUGUUCGGAAUUACUGGGCGUAAAGGGCUCGUAGGCGGCCAACUAAGUCAGACGUGAAAUCCCCAGGCUUAACCUGGGAACUGCGUCUGAUACUGGAUGGCUUGAAUCCGGGAGAGGGAUGCAGAAUUCCAGGUGUAGCGGUGAAAUGCGUAGAUAUCUGGAGGAAUACCGGUGGCGAAGGCGGCAUCCUGGACCGGCAUUGACGCUGAGGAGCGAAAGCCAGGGGAGCAAAGCGGG
rnacentral:rRNA from 1 species